CCUACGGGAGGCAGCAGUGAGGAAUAUUGGUCAAUGGGGGAAACCCUGAUGCAGCGACGCCGCGUGAGUGAAGAAGUAAUUCGUUACGUAAAGCUCCAUCAGCAGGGAAGAAAUACUGACCUUACGGUCAGCAGACGGUACCUGAGUAAGAAGCCCCGGCUAACUACGUGCCAGCAGCAGCUGUAAUACGUAGGGGGCAAGCGUUAUCCGGAUUUACUGGGUGGAAAGGGGGCGUAGACGGUGCGCCAAGUCUGGAGUGUAAUGCCGCAGCUUAACUGCGGAACUGCUUUGGAAACUGGAGGACUAGAGUGCGGGAGGGGUAAGCGGAAUGCCUGGUGUAGCGGUGAAAUGCGUAGAUAUUAGGAGGAACACCGGUGGCGAAGGCGGCUUACUGGACCGUAACUGACGUUGAGGCUCGAAAGCGUGGGGAGCAAACAGGAUUAGAUACCCCUGUAGUC
rnacentral:rRNA from 1 species